rnacentral:rRNA from 1 species
UACAGAGGGUGCAAGCGUUAAUCGGAAUUACUGGGCGUAAAGCGUGCGUAGACGGUUAUGUAAGUCAGAUGUGAAAGCCCAGGGCUCAACCUUGGAAUUGCAUUUGAGACUGCAUAGCUAGGGUGCGGAAGAGGGAAGCGGAAUUUCCGGUGUAGCGGUGAAAUGCGUAGAUAUCGGAAGGAACAUCAGUGGCGAAAGCGGCUUCCUGGACCAGCACCGACGUUCAGGCACGAAAGCGUGGGGAGCAAACAGG